rnacentral:rRNA from 1 species
AGAGCGAACGCUGGCGGCGUGCUUAACACAUGCAAGUCGAGUGCGCGCCUGUAGCAAUACAGGUGGCGCACGGCGCACGGGUGCGUAACACGUGGGUAAUCUGCCCUUCGAUGGGGAAUAACUUCGGGAAACCGAAGCUAAUUCCGCAUAACAUUCCGAGGACUUCGGUCCAUGGAUUCAAAGCCGUAAGGCGUCGGAGGAGGAACCCGCGCACGAUUAGCUAGUUGGUAGGGUAACGGCCUACCAAGGCUUUGAUCGUUAGC